rnacentral:rRNA from 1 species
AGCAGCAGCCGCGGGAAUACGGAGGGAGCUAGCGUUAUUCGGAAUUACUGGGCGUAAAGCGCACGUAGGCGGCUUUGUAAGUAAGAGGUGAAAGCCCGGAGCUCAACUCCGGAACUGCCUUUUAGACUGCAUCGCUUGAAUCCAGGAGAGGUGAGUGGAAUUCCGAGUGUAGAGGUGAAAUUCGUAGAUAUUCGGAAGAACACCAGUGGCGAAGGCGGCUCACUGGUCCAUUACUGACGCUGAGGUGCGAAAGCGUGGGGAGCAAACAGGAUUAGAUACCCGCGUAGUCCCUGUCUCUUAUAC